ACUCAGCUGUGAACCCCUUGAACCAGGAAUGUCUAUCCAUUGUAUCUGUAGCUCCGUUUCAUCACUCUCAACAUAUCUCAACCUAAGAAAAACAUUCUGUACAACCUGGAUCAGACAAGCAAGUUCGUCUGCUUGGCUUUAUUUUGGUUAUUAUGGUUCCACUUGGAAUGUUUUGGAACCGCAGUUCUUCACAUUUUAUCAAUGUGUUGCAAUUAUACGCUUAACGUUGUUUGGCUGGCGGGCUAGUUAUGCUGAGAUUAUAUCAUAUGGAUUGUUUAUAGUGAUAAUACCGUAAAGAUUGUCCAGCAACAACUUACUCCUACCAUUGAAGGCAGAGAGGUUGUUCCGAAAGACCCUCGGCUCAACUAAAACGUUGUUUCAAAAGUCCCUCGGCUCAAGUAGUUGCGUCUGCCUGGAGUCGAACCCGGGUCUAUUCCUUGGAAGGCAAUUAUUCUAACCGUUGGACUACAAACGCUCUCUGCAAGGAUUGUCCCUUAUGCAAAAAUAUGUCAUUUUCAAGAUUUGUUCUUGUUUUUCCACAUAUUUCUAAUACACAUAUUAUUACUGCUCA